rnacentral:rRNA from 1 species
UGCANUGGGCGAAGCCUGAUGCAGCGACGCCGCGUGGGGGAUGAAGCUUUUCGGAGUGUAAACCCCUUUCGNCUGGGACGAAUGCCCGCAAGGGAGUGACGGUACCAGGAUAAGAAGCCCCGGCUAACUACGUGCCAGCAGCCGCGGUAAGACGUAGGGGGCCAGCGUUGUUCGGAAUUACUGGGUGUAAAGGGUUCGUAGGCGGUGNGGCAAGUNGGGAGUGAAAUCUNUGGGCUNAACCCAGAGGCUGCUUCCNAAACUGCUGUGCUNGAGUGUGAGAGAGGCUCGUGGAAUUGCAGGUGUAGCGGUGAAAUGCGUAGAUAUCUGCAGGAACACCCGUGGCGAAAGCGGCGAGCUGGANCACUACUGACGCUGAGGAACGAAAGCUAGGGGAGCAAACAGGAUUAGAUACCCUGGUAGUCCUAGCCCUAAACGAUCAGGACUUGGGGUGCCNCCCGUUCGGGNGUCGUCCCGGAGCUAACGCGUUAAGUCCUGCACCUGGGGAGUACGGUCGCAAGACUGAAACUCAAAAGAUUGGACCGGAAAGGGCGAA